GGUUAAGCGACUAAGCGUACACGGUGGAUGCCCUGGCAGUCAGAGGCGAUGAAGGACGUGCUAAUCUGCGAUAAGCGUCGGUAAGGUGAUAUGAACCGUUAUAACCGGCGAUUUCCGAAUGGGGAAACCCAGUGUGAUUCGUCACACUAUCAUUAACUGAAUCCAUAGGUUAAUGAGGCGAACCGGGGGAACUGAAACAUCUAAGUACCCCGAGGAAAAGAAAUCAACCGAGAUUCCCCCAGUAGCGGCGAGCGAACGGGGAGCAGCCCAGAGCCUGAAUCAGUGUGUGUGUUAGUGGAAGCGUCUGGAAAGGCGCGCGAUACAGGGUGACAGCCCCGUACACAAAAAUGCACAUACUGUGAGCUCGAUGAGUAGGGCGGGACACGUGGUAUCCUGUCUGAAUAUGGGGGGACCAUCCUCCAAGGCUAAAUACUCCUGACUGACCGAUAGUGAACCAGUACCGUGAGGGAAAGGCGAAAAGAACCCCGGCGAGGGGAGUGAAAAAGAACCUGAAACCGUGUACGUACAAGCAGUGGGAGCCUCUUUUAUGGGGUGACUGCGUACCUUUUGUAUAAUGGGUCAGCGACUUAUAUUCUGUAGCAAGGUUAACCGAAUAGGGGAGCCGAAGGGAAACCGAGUCUUAACCGGGCGUUAAGUUGCAGGGUAUAGACCCGAAACCCGGUGAUCUAGCCAUGGGCAGGUUGAAGGUUGGGUAACACUAACUGGAGGACCGAACCGACUAAUGUUGAAAAAUUAGCGGAUGACUUGUGGCUGGGGGUGAAAGGCCAAUCAAACCGGGAGAUAGCUGGUUCUCCCCGAAAGCUAUUUAGGUAGCGCCUCGUGAAUUCAUCUCCGGGGGUAGAGCACUGUUUCGGCAAGGGGGUCAUCCCGACUUACCAACCCGAUGCAAACUGCGAAUACCGGAGAAUGUUAUCACGGGAGACACACGGCGGGUGCUAACGUCCGUCGUGAAGAGGGAAACAACCCAGACCGCCAGCUAAGGUCCCAAAGUCAUGGUUAAGUGGGAAACGAUGUGGGAAGGCCCAGACAGCCAGGAUGUUGGCUUAGAAGCAGCCAUCAUUUAAAGAAAGCGUAAUAGCUCACUGGUCGAGUCGGCCUGCGCGGAAGAUGUAACGGGGCUAAACCAUGCACCGAAGCUGCGGCAGCGACACUGUGUGUUGUUGGGUAGGGGAGCGUUCUGUAAGCCUGUGAAGGUGUACUGUGAGGUAUGCUGGAGGUAUCAGAAGUGCGAAUGCUGACAUAAGUAACGAUAAAGCGGGUGAAAAGCCCGCUCGCCGGAAGACCAAGGGUUCCUGUCCAACGUUAAUCGGGGCAGGGUGAGUCGACCCCUAAGGCGAGGCCGAAAGGCGUAGUCGAUGGGAAACAGGUUAAUAUUCCUGUACUUGGUGUUACUGCGAAGGGGGGACGGAGAAGGCUAUGUUGGCCGGGCGACGGUUGUCCCGGUUUAAGCGUGUAGGCUGGUUUUCCAGGCAAAUCCGGAAAAUCAAGGCUGAGGCGUGAUGACGAGGCACUACGGUGCUGAAGCAACAAAUGCCCUGCUUCCAGGAAAAGCCUCUAAGCAUCAGGUAACAUCAAAUCGUACCCCAAACCGACACAGGUGGUCAGGUAGAGAAUACCAAGGCGCUUGAGAGAACUCGGGUGAAGGAACUAGGCAAAAUGGUGCCGUAACUUCGGGAGAAGGCACGCUGAUAUGUAGGUGAAGUCCCUCGCGGAUGGAGCUGAAAUCAGUCGAAGAUACCAGCUGGCUGCAACUGUUUAUUAAAAACACAGCACUGUGCAAACACGAAAGUGGACGUAUACGUGUGACGCCUGCCCGGUGCCGGAAGGUUAAUUGAUGGGGUCAGCGCAAGCGAAGCUCUUGAUCGAAGCCCCGGUAAACGGCGGCCGUAACUAUAACGGUCCUAAGGUAGCGAAAUUCCUUGUCGGGUAAGUUCCGACCUGCACGAAUGGCGUAAUGAUGGCCAGGCUGUCUCCACCCGAGACUCAGUGAAAUUGAACUCGCUGUGAAGAUGCAGUGUACCCGCGGCAAGACGGAAAGACCCCGUGAACCUUUACUAUAGCUUGACACUGAACAUUGAGCCUUGAUGUGUAGGAUAGGUGGGAGGCUUUGAAGUGUGGACGCCAGUCUGCAUGGAGCCGACCUUGAAAUACCACCCUUUAAUGUUUGAUGUUCUAACGUGGACCCGUGAUCCGGGUUGCGGACAGUGUCUGGUGGGUAGUUUGACUGGGGCGGUCUCCUCCUAAAGAGUAACGGAGGAGCACGAAGGUUGGCUAAUCCUGGUCGGACAUCAGGAGGUUAGUGCAAUGGCAUAAGCCAGCUUGACUGCGAGCGUGACGGCGCGAGCAGGUGCGAAAGCAGGUCAUAGUGAUCCGGUGGUUCUGAAUGGAAGGGCCAUCGCUCAACGGAUAAAAGGUACUCCGGGGAUAACAGGCUGAUACCGCCCAAGAGUUCAUAUCGACGGCGGUGUUUGGCACCUCGAUGUCGGCUCAUCACAUCCUGGGGCUGAAGUAGGUCCCAAGGGUAUGGCUGUUCGCCAUUUAAAGUGGUACGCGAGCUGGGUUUAGAACGUCGUGAGACAGUUCGGUCCCUAUCUGCCGUGGGCGCUGGAGAACUGAGGGGGGCUGCUCCUAGUACGAGAGGACCGGAGUGGACGCAUCACUGGUGUUCGGGUUGUCAUGCCAAUGGCACUGCCCGGUAGCUAAAUGCGGAAGAGAUAAGUGCUGAAAGCAUCUAAGCACGAAACUUGCCCCGAGAUGAGUUCUCCCUGACCCUUUAAGGGUCCUGAAGGAACGUUGAAGACGACGACGUUGAUAGGCCGGGUGUGUAAGCGCAGCGAUGCGUUGAGCUAACCGGUACUAAUGAACCGUGAGGCUUAACCUU
rnacentral:rRNA from 1 species